GACGAACGCUGGCGGCGUGCUUAACACAUGCAAGUCGAACGGAAAGUCCCUGCUUUUUUGCGCUGCUCUAGUUGCGAACGGGUGAGUAACACGUGAGUAACCUGCCCUUGCCUUUGGGAUAACUUCAGGAAACUUGGUCUAAUACCGGAUAGGAGCUACUGCUGCAUGGUGGGGGUGGGAAAGUUUCGGCGGUUGGGGAUGGACUCGCGGCUUAUCAGCUUGUUGGUGGGGUAGUGGAUUACCAAGACUUGGACGCGUAGCCGGGCUGAGAGGGUGAGCGGACACACUGGGCCUGAGCUACGACACAGACUCGUAUCGGAGGGAAGGGAGGAGAAUAUUGCACUGUGGGAGGAAGGCUGAUGUAGCAAAGCCGCGCGGGGGAUGACGGCAUGGGGGUUGUAUUCCGCUUUCGCUUGUGACGAAGCGUGAGUGACAGUAAUGGGUAAAGAAGCACCGGCUAACUACGUG
rnacentral:rRNA from 1 species